UUAUGAUUACACAUUUUUUGUAUCCGUUAUAACAUAAAUGUUAAAACAAUUAAGCGAAAGAGAAUCAACUUGUUAAAUUAAACUGAAGAAAAUCGAUAAAUUACAAAAGAGCUAUACAUAUUGGUAAAUGGUUAGCCGGGCUUAGGCUAGUGAUUGACAUCCUGGGCUGCGGUUCGAUGAAGCAAGAUAAUGCCGCUGAAUACGCUCUGCACUUCCAGAAGUAGAUUUCUUGAUCAAUCAGCGCAACUUGACACAAUGAUGCAGGAUGACAUGAGGAAAGUUAUGAGAAGUUCUUGAUAGAACUCUUAGAAACGGUGCACAAUUUGUGAUCAACUGCACACUAGGAAAAACCUUAGUUGGAAGUGUUGAGAUUUCAUGCAUGGUUGGAUGUAAAAAUUAAUGUCAUGUAUGUGAAGGCCAGAGUCACCUCAGGAAACGAAUUCCACGCCUUCCGUGUCGACUUCUUUCUAAAAGAUAACUAACGUGGUAUCACAGCCUGUGAGACUACAGAAGAAGGGUAGGGCCAGGGGUUAUAUUCUCAGGGCAUGGAAGACGGCAUUGACGUGAAAAUAAGGUAAAGUUCUUGCUUGUACCAAAGAUCAUUCAAAUGUCUGUAACUUGUCGUAGAACUUGUCAAUAAGGAUCACAGUUAAGUCUGUUUUGAAUAACUUGUAUAAUAGUGUUACAAUUGUUGCACUAUGCUGUUCGUUUUUACUUUUAUUUCUUUAAGUUUACUGACUUCAUUCCUUUAACCUGGACGUCAGUAUCCACAAUGCAUACCAAGCAGAUCCUAGAUCCCUUGUUCAAGAUAUUCUUCAGGAUAAUCAGUAGUUUUGUGUCUGCCUAUAUUCAGUUAACCGAUUCCCUAUGCAGUUUUUUCUCAGUUCUUAUUACUAGUAAUGGCUAAAAUACUGUUAAGACAGCGGGGUCACGUGACGCUAGUAACACGUC